rnacentral:rRNA from 1 species
UACGUAGGUGGCAAGCGUUGUCCGGAUUUACUGGGCGUAAAGAGCGCGCAGGCGGCCGAGUAAGUCGAAUGUGAAAGCCCCCGGCUCAACUGGGGAACGUCAUUCGAUACUGUUCGGCUCGAAGAUAGGAGAGGGAAGCGGAAUUUCAGGUGUAGUGGUGAAAUGCGUAGAUAUCUGAAGGAACACCAGUGGCGAAGGCGGCUUUCUGGCCUAUUCUUGACGCUGAGGCGCGAAAGCUAGGGGUGCGAACGGG